ACACCUCAACUCUCAUGGGUUCACCAUGAUGAGCUUGGACUUCUGGGGGUUUUGCCGGCCUAUCCCUGGCUCCUCUCAAAUGAAUCAGCUUGCCAGUGUUUGGUGGCAUCACAGGUGUGAUAACUAUCUGCGCUUGUGGUGUUCCACCAGGUAACCUCCAGCGAUGGAGGUUUGCUGGAGCUCAUAAACGUCUCUCUUUGGAGAGAGACAUCGUUUUCGAAU
rnacentral:misc_RNA from 1 species